rnacentral:misc_RNA from 1 species
GCUGGUUGCAUACUCACUGACACAUUUCUUCAUCAUAACAAAUUACUUAAAUAUCUCAAAUCCCUUUUUGAACUGAUGAAACGCAAAUAGCACACCGAGGAAUUAUUUUGUAGGUGUUAAAAUUUCCAAAAGUCCAUCAAGCAGAUCUAUCCAAAUCUAACAAAAUUAUUUAGAAAUAACCUUAAACAAGGAGAAUUUUUUGGUAGUUAUGGCUGGGUACCAUCCAUGUUCAGUUUCUGGGUGUAAGGACAAAAAAUCUAGUCGACACUUAUUUCCAAAUCCAACAAAGCAGUCAGAGAGAUAUCAUGAAUGGGUUAAAGCUACUGGAAAUCUAAAAUUACUCACAUUAGAUCCCAAUAGAGUGUACAGAUCCUACAGAGUUUGUCAUAGGCAUUUUACUGAUAGUGAUAGAACUACAAAUAUGUAUUUAACAAAAACUUGUGUACCUUCAUUGUAUUUACCAGAGGCGAUUGAUUUAUCUAUUUCUAAUGAAAUUGAUCCUUUGGACACCACUUUGGAUGAAGAUGAUGUACCACUAAGUAAAAAGUUGCGUCUUUCACCUUCAAUGACUUCACCAUCAGAGACAUUACCAUUAUCAAUCAACAAGCCUAACAGUUUUGAACACAUAAUCAUAGAACCUCCUAUAUCACUAGCAUCAACAUUCAUAACAGAAGUUAAAAAAGAACAAGACUAUUCAUCAUCAGAGGAAGAUGAACAAAAUCAAAUAGAAACUAUAUCAACAGAUGACCUUGAAAAAUUGAUACAUUACUGGGAUGAGUUUCAGUCUUUAGCUAAAAAAUGGCACCCCAAUAAAACUGAUGUUAACAAAAUAUGUGACAUGGUUGAAGAUAAAUGUUUAAGUCAUUUUAAAGAGAUUAUAAGAAAAAGGCAGGUUCAAUCAGGUUUGGGGGAGUAUUUUUCUCCAUCAUAGGAACAACACAUUCACAUUGUAUAUCUUAAGCAUUUAUAUUGUCUGGAUACAACAUUAGUACAUUCACAGAUUUUAACUGGCCAAAAAUUUGGCGAAUGCAAAAGUGGCUGUGAUAAUGGAAUUAAUAUAGAUUAUGAGGAAGAAUCUGUUAAAAGGGAUCAAAUAAAACUUUAAUUAAGUUUUAAAUAAAUAUAAUUUUAAAA